UGGGGAAUAUUGGACAAUGGGGGCAACCCUGAUCCAGCAAUGCCGCGUGUGUGAAGAAGGUCUUCGGAUUGUAAAGCACUUUCGACGGGGACGAUGAUGACGGUACCCGUAGAAGAAGCCCCGGCUAACUUCGUGCCAGCAGCCGCGGUAAUACGAAGGGGGCUAGCGUUGCUCGGAAUGACUGGGCGUAAAGGGCGUGUAGGCGGUUUACACAGUCAGAUGUGAAAUCCCCGGGCUUAACCUGGGAGCUGCAUUUGAUACGUGUAGACUAGAGUGUGAGAGAGGGUUGUGGAAUUCCCAGUGUAGAGGUGAAAUUCGUAGAUAUU
rnacentral:rRNA from 1 species